UACGUAGGGUGCAAGCGUUAAUCGGAAUUACUGGGCGUAAAGCGUGCGCAGGCGGUUGUGCAAGACAGAUGGGAAAUCCCCGGGCUCAACCUGGGAACUGCAUUUGUGACUGCACGGCUAGAGUGUGUCAGAGGGGGGUAGAAUUCCACGUGUAGCAGUGAAAUGCGUAGAUAUGUGGAGGAAUACCGAUGGCGAAGGCAGCCCCCUGGGAUAACACUGACGCUCAUGCACGAAAGCGUGGGGAGCAAACAGG
rnacentral:rRNA from 1 species